AGUUCCAAUGAAAUGAGGAUGGUGUUCUGGAACCAUCCCCUUAGCUGAUGGCAUCACUGCAACAGCAUAUCCACUUGCAUCCGCUAAUUCAACAAACGCAUCACACGCCUUUGCAACGCGCAUUUUUGGCCCUCCCACAAUGACUGGUUUCACAGCUUUGUUUAAAAACUCUGCAGCUGCCUCCACUGCUGCUUCCAAACCCAUCUUAUUACUCAAUCUGGGAGCGAUGAAAAAUGGAACAGGUUCACGGCUAAAAGUAGGAUGUGGAAUCCCCGGCAAGUUACAGCUUAUACUUAUAUAAACCGGCUUACUCUCUUUCAACGACGUAGAAAUCGCGGUAUCAAUCAUUUCAUGUGCAUCCUCCAAGUUAUUCACCACAGCCUGAUAGCAAGUGACAGCUUGAAAGCAACGAAGUUCUUGACUAAAAUCAGGCAACCCAAUCGUAUGAUGAAGGAUUCUGUUCGUUCCAUAAUCGUUCGAAUUAGGUCCACCCACAAUACAAAUCAAUGGAAGAUUUUCACUAUAAGCACCAGCAAUAGCA
rnacentral:misc_RNA from 1 species